UUCUCCCUUCGUUCCGGCUCUAGCACCAGGCUCCAUCUCGGGCAGAAAGCGCAGCCAUGAAUCCGUUAUUCGGUCCCAACCUCUUCCUCCUACAGCAGGAGCAACAGGGCUUGGCCGGGCCUCUGGGGGACAGUCUGGGGGGUGACCCCUUCCCUGGGGGUGGGGACUUGCCCCCGGCGCCGCUCGCGCCCGCCGGCCCCGCCGCCUUUUCACCGCCCGGCCCGGGCCCCGCGCCCCCUGCCGCCAUGGCGCUCCGAAACGACCUGGGCUCCAACAUCAGCGUGCUCAAGACGCUGAACCUGCGCUUCCGCUGCUUCCUCGCCAAGGUGCACGAGCUGGAGCGCCGGAACCGGCUGCUAGAGAAGCAGCUGCAGCAGGCUCUAGAGGAGGGUAAGCAGGGCCGGCGGGGCUCAGCGCGCCGAGACCAGGCGGUGCAGACCGGCUUCGUCAGUCCGGUGCGGCCGCUAGGGCUGGCGCUGGGCGCGCGGCCGGCCGCCGUCUGCUCCCCGGCGGCGCGCUCCCCCGCCUGUGCCGCGCCGCCCUCCGCCUCCGCAGCCUCCGCCUUCUCGUCGUCGGCCCGCUUCAUGCCCGGCACCAUCUGGUCCUUCUCGCACUCCCGCCGGCUCGGGCCAGGACUGGAGCCCACGCUGGUGCAGGGGCCUGGCCUGUCGUGGGUGCACCCUGACGGGGUGGGCGUCCAGAUCGACACCAUCACCCCUGAGAUCCGAGCGCUCUACAACGUGCUGGCCAAAGUAAAGCGAGAGCGGGACGAGUACAAGCGGAGGUGGGAAGAGGAGUACACAGUGCGGAUCCAGCUGCAGGAACGAGUGAACGAGCUCCAGGAGGAGGCCCAAGAGGCUGAUGCCUGCCAAGAGGAGCUGGCCAUGAAGGUGGAGCAGUUGAAAGCUGAGCUGGUGGUCUUCAAGGGGCUCAUGAGCAAUAACCUGUCAGAGCUGGACACCAAGAUCCAGGAGAAGGCCAUGAAGGUAGAUAUGGACAUCUGCCGGCGCAUCGACAUCACUGCCAAGCUGUGCGACCUGGCUCAGCAGCGCAACUGUGAGGACAUGAUCCAGAUGUUCCAGGUCCCAUCCAUGGGGGGGCGGAAGCGGGAGCGCAAGGCUGCUGUCGAGGAGGACACCUCCAUGUCAGAGAGUGACGGGCCCCGCCAGCCCAAUGGGGAGGAGGAGGAGAGCACGGCCCUCAGCAUCAACGAGGAGAUGCAGCGCAUGCUCAACCAGCUGAGGGAGUAUGAUUUUGAGGACGACUGUGACAGCCUGACUUGGGAGGAGACUGAGGAGACCCUGUUGCUGUGGGAGGAUUUCUCAGGCUAUGCCAUGGCAGCGGCAGAGGCCCAGGGAGAGCAGCAAGAAGACAGCCUGGAGAAGGUGAUUAAAGAUACUGAGUCCCUCUUCAAAACCCGAGAGAAGGAGUAUCAGGAAACCAUCGACCAGAUAGAGGUAGGGGUAUGUGCUGUCCCUGUCCCCAGAGGUCACCAGCCAGGCCAUGGGUGUGCUGGCUCUUGCCUUUUCUGUCACCAGGAAGAAGUGACCAUGGCAUUGCCCAUGCUCCUUGAGACCGUGGGCUCUGGAGGCAAAGCUGGAGCUGGCCACAGCUAAGAACGACAUGAACCGGCACCUGCACGAAUACAUGGAAAUGUGCAGCAUGAAGCGGGGCCUGGAUGUGCAGAUGGAGACCUGCCGCCGGCUUAUCACCCAGUCUGGGGACCGAAAGUCUCCUGCUUUCACUGCGGUCCCGCCUAGCGACCCGCCGCCACCGCCGCCAAGCGAGACUGAGGACUCCGAUCGAGAUGUCUCAUCUGACAGCUCCAUGAGAUAGGGUCCAACCCUGGCAGGGUCUCCUAUUCCCUCACCCCAGAGGGCUUGGGCUUGGGCUUGCAGAGGCAACACUCACUUAUGUGAGCCAGGCCUGGUCCUGGGGCAUCUCCCUUCCUCACUCCAUCCUGGGCCUUCAGGGUAAUGAGGUGUCUGGAGCUAGGCUUGGCCCACCCUUCCUGGGUGGCUUCUGCCUGUGUGGGUGUCUGCUACUUCCCUGUCUUAAUGCCACACCCCUGCCAUCUCCAUCAUGUAAGGAAUGUGAACCAGGUCCUGCCCUCCACUCUGGAUCUAGACUGGCUGUGUCUUUGUUUUUUGUUCUGGUGUCCAGUGGCCCAGGCACUGGUGUGAAGCUGACCAGCCAGAGGUUCCCUAAAGGCUUAUGCAAGGCUUGCACCUUAGUUGGGUGGAGGGAGGGAGGAGCUGGGCUGACUGCCCACAGCUGCCCCACAACCUAUAGCCCAGCCUACGUGUGAGCGCAGGCUAUGUGUGGUAUCCUGAGGGUUUACAAACUCAUGCUGGCCUGUCACUGCUGGGUGACAGGUGACCCUGCAUGUGGGUCUGUGCAGUGUGUGAGUGCUCAGGGUGUUUUCAAGUGUCAGCUUAAGUCAUGCCUCAUCAAAGCCAACAGGCUUGGGCAAGCUUGCCGAGAGCCAGGAGGUUCAUCUCCGAAUACCUGUCUAGGAGGCUGUGCCACACUGAUGUUUGAAUGUAAUCUUCAAUAAUCAACAUGGAGGGGCUGGGGGUUUAGCUCAUCGGUGUAAAGUGCCUGCCUGGCAAGUACAAGGUUGUGAGUUCAAUCCCCAGCACCAAAAAAAAAAAAAAAAAAUUAACAUGAAUAGUAUUUAUUGAGCCUUUUGUUAUCACUGGUUCAAGCAUUUUUUGCUUAACUAGAAUCUUAAACUGAGGUACGCACUAUUUCCAUUGUGAAUAGCCAGGACAGGAAGUGACAAGUGACUUCUUAAAACAAAAGAGCCUCCUGAUAGCAGAGGUCACCCUGCCUGUGUUCACUUCCCUCCCCCAGGGGUUGGCUCUUAAGCGACAGUUUGGUUACUGGGCGUGCAUCUAGGUGCUUGCAUGUUGACCCAACUGACCUGUUGUCUACAAAUCUAGGGGCAGGGCUGACGUAGUCCCCUUUUAAAAAGUACACAAAGGUAAAUAACUUGCUCAAGACCCACACAGCUGCCCAUGAUUUUGGGAAAAACUGGAGUUUGUGCCCCAGCUCCACAGUCUACUGUACCCUGCUUCAGACGUCAGAUGCCAGGCCAAUCACACAGGCAAUCCAAAACUCCAUUUUCUAUGUCUGGUGCCAGGCAGGGUGCAGUUUCCCGGCAGGCAGCCAGGUGAUAGUUCUGUGUCUUGAGACCUAUUUUCUGCAGUGCCCACGGGGAACAGGCACAAGUGGGAAAGGGGACUGCCUUUAAAGGCACAAGGAUGGGCCUCAUCAAAGAAUGUUAUCUAGCCUUGGUAAACAGACCUUUACUUUGACAUCAGCUAGCCUUCCUCCCCUGGUCCAGGAUUAACAAGCAAGACAGCAGAGCUGGGUGCAGCAGGCUUUAUUGAUGGUGUGCAAUGAGCCAGGGCUCCCUAGGCCCCUCCCCUUCUCCAGGGGGCCUGGGUUGGAAGCUGGGAGGAGGGGAGAUUCUCAGUGUUGGGGCUUAGAGUGGGGCAGUGACUUCUGCAGUGAGGCCUAGUCUCCAUGGUCUCACUGGGCUCGCUGGGCUCAGGUGGGGUCCACUUACUCCUUGGAGGCCAUGUGGACCAUGAGGUCCACCACCCUGUUGCUGUAGCCGAACUCAUUGUCAUACC